ensembl:lncRNA
AAUUCUCAUCAGGUGAGAGAGAGACAUGAGUCAGCCCCACCAACGAGGCAUCAAUACAAUAAUAGUCUGGUGAAGAUUAGGAAGAAAAGGGAUAUUGCUCCUUGGGAAUGUUCAGUAGAGAAACUGACCCAGAAGGUGGAGUCUUACAGAGGGAGGAGGUGGCUUGAGCAAAGAUCCUGGGGUAGCAGGAAAGAGAAGACAGCAGAGUAAUUGAAGGACAGGCGGCAAGUGCAAGGGAGGUUCAGGGCCCCGUGGCAGGGGAAGGCCAGACCAGGCAGGGCCUAAAAUCCUUUUAGUCGUGAUUUCAAGAACAAGAAGGAGUCAUUAAAGAGAUGUAGGAAGGGGUAGGCGCUUGACAUAAUUUGAUCUGUUUCCAAAAGACCACCUUGGCCAAAGGCCCAGAUGACAAUGAUGGUGACCCAUGGAAGCCCAUCUGGGGAGUUUAGUCGCUUGCCUAAACAAGGGGUCCCCAGUUCAGUCUCCUUGUCCUGCACACCCUCCCUUCAUUGAAUUGAAAGUAGUUCAAUAACCCGGUGAUGAAGACCACGGGUCAAGACUCAGACUGUCUAGUUUGAAUCCAGUCUUGUUUCUCACUAGCUACAAGACCUGGGGCAAGUUACAGACUAAUUAUAAACUAGUUAUGACUCCAUCUGGAAAAUGGAGAGGGUGCUAAUAAUAGCCUCUAUUUCAGAGAUGAUGCUAAUGAUAUCCCCACCCUCAUAAGGGUGCUGUAGAGAUUAAGUUCACAUGUGUAGAGCACCAUACAAGUGACAGUUGAUGAAACAAGGGGCCUUCAAAUAAACCUGUGUGCUGAUGUGGGUAGCCAGCCCAUUACAGUGGGCCCAGGUGCCAUCUGAUGGAGAAGUAGCAAACAGACGUCCUGUCUCUGCAGCACCUCCUGUAACAGAACCCACAGGAGCCAGGGGCUUUCAAAACACCCGCCAGGAUGUCCAGGGAUGGUUAUGAGGGCCAGGCUCCAUCAAGACACCCGAACCCCUGCCCCUGGCCACUGGCUGACUGCUGCUGGCGCCCCAACUGUCUGUGAGGGUCUGGAGAGCCCCUAA